AAAUGAUCCGAUUUGUGACUCAAAACCGUGAUAUGAUCCCAACCGUGAGUUUUCUGAUCCGUUGCACCCCUAAUUACAACCAGCAGCACCAUCAAGCACAAUACUCAAGACCAGUUCGAAUUCGCCAAAUGAACAUCCUCGUAAUGCAAAAAUUGUAUCGUCGCCGAUAGGUAAGGAAGCAAAGACUACAAGCAACCUUGCGAGCCUUGGCAGCUCUCUGUUUCAGAAGAGACAGAUAGGGAACAUCUGGGCGUCAUGCUUGGUGGCAGCAUGUAUGUGGCAGCUGGACACAGAGAGAUUGGCUGCUUAACUUCAGAAUGAGAAGAACCACCUUCUGUCAUCUCUGUGACAGUUUUCAUUCAAGGCUGACUCGACGGGAUACAAGACACCGCUAGGCAGUGGGGUUGUGUGUGGUAAUAUGCUUGUGGAAGCUGGCCACCAAUCUCUCACCUAAUUGGUGUGGUAUUAUCGAGUGAUUGUGCGUUCGCCCAACAAGUUGUUGCUGCCAUCAAUGACACCCUAAAGCCACAAUACCUUCACAGACCUUCAGCUGCAGAAGUCGAAGAAAUAGUCAGAGGAUUCCAUGACGGAGCUGUGGCUGGCACUCAUAUUUGCAUCCUGGAACCACCUCACAACACAGUGGACUUCUACAAUUGCAAAUGCUUCCACUCAGUAGUCCUGCAAGGUGUUGUGGACCACAAUGAGAAGUUUUGGGAUGUCAGAAAGCAAGGAAAUGGAAAUAUAUUUUCUUAAAUUCAGUGAUAUCUUGGUAAUGAGAUGUUAAAGUGUUGAAAUAUGAAUAGAAAUCAUUUCAACGGUCCCAAAAAUUUAUUACAAGGUCAAAUUCAUUCCUCCAAUUGAUUUUCAGCAGAAAGCAGGGAAAUUGAAAUAUAUUUUGUGUUACAUCAAAUUAAUAGAUUCCUAUUGCCCCAGAUUGACUAUCAACAAGAGGACAAUGGAGCUGUUUAGCUGCAACAAUGUCCAUUUGAGCCUCAUCUUUUGACCUCCUUAUAUGCUCCCUCAGUAGGAAUAACAAGUUGAUAAACUUUUAAGUACAUUUGACAUCCCAACUAUAAAUAUUGCAGUUGAAAUUGAAUGCCUCACUAACCAUUAGGUCACUGCAAAUAAAUGGAUUUUGCAAAAUUAGAAAAUCUUUCUUAGCCCAGGUAAAACUAAAAGUAUCUUUUCUUUAAUCCAGUAUACAGGCAAAAGAGAAAAAAAACAUAUUUCUGAAUCAUGUUUCAUGUGAUAAGUUAUGAAUUACUAAACAAACAAACAAAAACAAAAAAAACCUCUGAAUUUAUAAAUAGCCUACAUGGAAUCAUUACAUUAACCAUAACCUACCUGAACACACUUGAAUGCAGGCUGCUGAGCAAAUGAUACAAGAUCUUCAAUUGUCUUGUUUUUCCAUCUCCUGGAAAGUCAUUGGCUGCUUAAUGAACUCUUUACACAUUGAGGGAGAAAAUAGGUCUCAUACAGUAACACAUAUGCUUUUCUACAUUCAAAGAAUUACAUUGUUAAUUGUAAUAAUAAUAAUAAUAAUAAUAAUAAUAAUUUCAUGUUCAAAUUGCAUUUAAACCGAGUUUAUGUACUUAGUUACUUUCCACCACUACAAAAAGCUAAACUUUCCUACUGUUGUUAUUCUACAGUUUCUCAAUGUUGUAAAAAUGAGUAAAAGAAAUAAGUCCAACUAUUGAUCCCAAUGAUCCUGUACAGAAAUGUUGUUCAUCUGCUAAUUAUACUGUUGGCUGCAAUUUUCAUGGGUGCUGCUGUCUGAAUUCAGUUUGAACAAGUACUGAAAACUGCCAACGAUUCUACAUCACAUACAUCACCACUGGAAGAACCAAACAAUAAAACAGAUCAUUUUCACAGUGUGAACAACUUCUGUUGUUCUCAACUGAAUAAUCAGAGUUUAUUAAGCUAUUUAUUAAGGCUUGUGAGAGUGUUACAAUGUCUCAUCACAUGGAACUUCAUAUACUGUGGCCUUAGUGUAGCAUUAAGGACAUUUCUCCAGGACUGUUUGUUGACAUAGAAAUGCUGCAGCUCCCAGAGGAGCACUUAUCUCACAUUUCACAUUCCACAUUCCUCUGCGUUACACAACAGAACUGUGUCUGACUGCCUCAAUGGCUCAGUGCCACACAUCACAUGCUGUCAUUAAUGUGCAAUGUCCUAGUGCUUAUUCUUUACAUUAAAACAGUGGGGGUUCAUAAUAGAAGCUUGGAAUGCAUACCGUAUACUAUCCA